GUGCCAGCAGCCGCGGUAAUACAGGGGGGGCGAGCGUUGUUCGGAAUUACUGGGCGUAAAGGGUUCGUAGGUGGCCGACUAAGUCAUACGUGAAAUCCCUCAGCUUAACUGGGGAACUGCGUCUGAUACUGGUCGGCUUGAGUGCGGGAGAGGAACGCGGAAUUCCAGGUGUAGCGGUGAAAUGCGUAGAUAUCUGGAGGAACACCGGUGGCGAAGGCGGCGUUCUGGACUGCAACUGACACUGAGGAACGAAAGCCAGGGGAGCAAACGGGAUUAGAAACCCUGGUAGUCC
rnacentral:rRNA from 1 species